GAGUAGGCGCUGUUCUUUGCAGUCGUCCAGUCGCCUCGCUUUCCAAGGUCUCCCUGGGUCUGGUGCUCGCCCCGGAGUCGCCAUGGCAACGGAAAUUCCGGGGACCGAGUGCGGGGUAGGGGGAUCUUCGCGGCACCGGGACCCCGCUGAGCUCUUGGCCCGAGUCUCGGUGCGAAGGAACCCGACGGCCUGCAACAUCUCCAGAGCUCGGACGCAAGCCCUCGUCUCCUGGCCUGCAGGGAAGCGGGGGAGGUUAUCAGGCGCGGUCAGGGUCACGAACGUGAGGCCGGAAUUGGAAUGGCUAUAAUGCCUCCGUCUGACUUGAGACGACUGCUUUUACAUAUCUGGGCCUCAGUUUCUCCAAUUGUUAAAUGAGGAAGUGGACUUUAUCAGCGAAUCUCGUUUUUUUCAGACGCGGGCUGCUUGGAAAAGCUAGUGAGAACUCGACGGAGAAAGGCCCCUACACACUAAAUUUUGCAAAAAGGUUUAUGGGGCAGUUCACCUCACUAGGUGACUUUAAGGCAUCUUUCCAUUUGUAGGACUCUGACGGUUGCUCAGGUGAAGGGCAAAGAAGAGGUGAUGUGUGCAACAGUUGCAAUCACCACUCCCCCCACCCCCACCCCACCGCGUGCGGGUCCCCGGGACGGAUUCUGUUGACGUAGCGGUGCCUCUCCGCAUUCACCGUACCCAGAUGAGGAUACUUGGGAUUCAGAUGUUAGAUCCCUUGUCCUAUCUAGCUCCCCUUGUGCUGUCACCCAGUGCUGCCCUCUCAGCUUGCCUCCUGACCUUGCCUCGUCCGCCCAGCACCUCCCUGGGGCAGGCGUACACUUCGGGAUUUCCCACAUGGCACACGGCGGAAGGGGAAGGAGAGAACUGCCCUUGUCCACCGCCUCACCUGGGGCUGCUUUUCCAGCCGAGGAGCCACCGUGGUGCUGCAGCCCAGCCAGCGGGAGUCUUCCGGAAAGGCCACACAGCACGCAGCUCCCGCUGGCCCGCUCGGGCGUUGCCACCGCCUCCAGGGCCGCGUGCCCUCCCUCGGCGCCCGCCGCCUCCGCCGCUGCCAUGGUCCGGGCUGCGGCCCCCUCCGGCCAGCGCUGCGCAGCCUGGCUCCCGGCGGGCCGCCCCUCUACAAGUACAUUCAAGCAUAUAUACACCGGCAGCUUAGCCCGCCUAGCCAAUUACCGCAGUGCUCAUGCACCUCCCGCGUGAGUGGACCUAAAUGAACAGCCAAUCAUAUUCAGUCCCUUACAGCUCUUAUAGUAGGCCUCUUGUACUGGCUCCCGACAGUCGGGGAGCAAGGCUUCCUAUCCCUUUCAAGGGUCCCUCUAGCUGGACUAAGAAUCAGAUUGACCUGAGACAGAUUAACAGGAAGAAAUCAAAUUUAAUAGUGUACACGCAGGGAAUCUACACAGACAGGCAAAAUGAGGUCUGUGUGCCAUCCUGAACUAAAGCAAAGAGGGUCAGAGCCUGGGACUUCAGAGGAGACGUAGGUACCUCGUGGUGGGAAGAAAAGAGAAUGUUGGUAAUUAGAUGUUUGUCCUGCCGUGCAGAUGGGUAACGGUAACUCACAUAAACUUUAUCUCUGCUGUUAACUCCCAUUUUGGGAGAGACCCCCGGUUUAGAUUCUUCUGUAGAGUUAAGGGAGGGGCAAAAGUUUCUCUUGACCCCAUAGGGUCUCCAUCACCUUUAGCUCAUAAUAAUCUUCAUGUCAAAAUGGCCAGAUUGGUGCGCCCUGUUUGCGACCCCUGGCCCCACCACCGCACCUCUGUGUCCCCUGUCCUUCUGCUUAUCUCCACGUGGAUGUCCCACAACACCUGCUGAAAUGAGAUGUGUUCAGCAUCUACCGGCCAUGUUUCCCCUAAGCCUAGUCUUCUGGCCUUUCCUGAUCCCUUUCCGUGUUACCAGAUCAAACCGGAUCUGACUGACCACCUCCCAUCCAUCUGGCCCCCAGGUAAUUUAAUACCCCUUGUACUUUGGAAGUAUUUUUAAUGUGUUAUAUUAUUUUUGUCAUAAAAGCUACUUUUAACAAAAGAAAAAUGUACCUCUGUAGAAAAUGUGGAAAAUAUCAAGAAGAAAAGUAUAUGUUCAGCUCCAGCACUUGGCGAUGACCACGGUGAGCAUUUUGUCCCAGUGCCACAGAGAGCCUAAGAGCCAGACUGGCUCUGUUAGCGGUCAAGCCUCCCACCUACCUCAGUGUGCAGCCCUGGACGUGCUGCCCAAGCCCCUGGGCCUCAGCGUGCUCCUCUGAGAAAUGGUAAUGCAAGUACCCACCUCAGAGGGCUUGGAGAGUGUUGCGUGAAUAAUGGGAUGAGACCCUGCCUGGCUCCCAGCAUCCAGUAUGUUGUAGCUGCUAUUGUUCUUAUUAUAAGUGUAUAUAUGUUAAUUACUGAUAAAGUGUGUUUACAGAUUAAUAUUCUGCUUCUUUCCAUUAACUAUCGUAAACAUUUUCUAGGUCACAAAAUAUUCCUCAAAAACGUGAUUUUAAUGACUGUAUAAUAGCCGAUUACUUAAAUAUAUUCAUGAUUUCUUCUGUAGGUGACUUUUCCUCUAUUUUUUGACAGUUGGGGUAGGUACAUUUCUCUAAUAACUCUGAGCCGAAAAUGCUUAUUAUGUGUAUAUGUACAAUUAAAGUGUGUGUAUUUGUAAGUGUCUAUAUCUACAUCUGACUAUGAGUCUGAUGGUUUCCUUAGAAUAGGAUUUUACACCUGAAGAAGGGACGAGCUGUUUCAAGUUUCCAGUAAAUGAGAAAUUGCGUAAAGGCAAGGUUAUCAAGCACACACACUCGGGCCACCGCACCACCGUCUCCAGCAGCGAGAUGAGCUUGUUUAUCUGCCAUCGCUGACACGGUCGCCUUUACCACAUUUCACUGGGCUGGUAGGAGGCAGAACCUUGCCCUGGGUGCUUCUGCAUACAUUACUUUGUAUGCCAAUAAGUUAAGUGAGCGCUCCCUAAGCCUUGGACAGACAUACUAACUUUCUUCCUGUGGGUAGAAAUAUAAUCCACAGUGCUGGAAAUACACCCCAUUGGGUUUUCUUGUUUCCUUGAUUAGCAUUUGGCACCUCUCCCUGGUGACAGAACAGGUUCCAGAGCCCAGUAAAAGGUUUGAUGGGAACCUGGCUCAGGUAAGGUACUAGCUUAGUUGGACGGACCCAUUUUCUGGACUCUUGUGUGUCCUUCUCAACCUAUAGCAGCAUACUGCAAAUCUCUCACGAUAUUUCAGGUUUGGAUUUCCAUUCAGUGUCUUCUGUCUUGUACUGACCCCAGGAGUGUUACUCUAACCCCACAGGAAGAGAGCUAGAGUUUUAUUUUGCCAAAAUAAAACCAACAAACAUU